rnacentral:rRNA from 1 species
UACGUAGGGGGCGAGCGUUGUCCGGAUUUAUUGGGCGUAAAGAGCGUGUAGGCGGUUCGGUAAGUCUGUCGUGAAAUCCUGAGGCUCAACCUCGGGCGUGCGAUGGAUACUGCCGGGCUAGAGGAUGGUAGAGGCGAGUGAAUUCCCGGUGUAGCGGUGAAAUGCGCAGAUAUCGGGAGGAACACCCGUGGCGAAGGCGGUUCUCUGGGACGGUACUGACGCUGAGACGCGAAAGCGUGGGGAGCGAACAGG